GGCCUCUGUCCCUCUGGCUGCAGGGGAGCCCAUUGCUUCUCAGCCAAGGUUAGAGGCCAAAUCAGCCCCAGGGGAGCAUGGACAGCACCGGCACUAGUGGGCACCCUUGUCUGCCUGCCUCCGCCACGU
ensembl:scaRNA